rnacentral:rRNA from 1 species
UAGGGGGCGAGCGUUAUCCGGAUUUACUGGGUGUAAAGGGAGCGUAGACGGCCGUGCAAGUCAGGAGUGAAAACCCGCGGCUCAACUGCGGGACUGCUCUUGAGACUGUAUGGCUGGAGUGCAGGAGAGGUGAGUGGAAUUCCUAGUGUAGCGGUGAAAUGCGUAGAUAUUAGGAGGAACACCAGUGGCGAAGGCGGCUCACUGGACUGUGACUGACGUUGAGGCUCGAAAGCGUGGGGAGCAAA